AUGUUUCAGAUUUCGAUUCGACUCGUCUUGGUUUCAGUUCAAAAUUCCAAAUACGCACGAAAUAUAGAUAAGAACAAGAGAAACAAAAUGAUACCUAUUGGAGAAGUUGUCUGGUGCGUCUUUGAAAGGAUGAAGAUGAUAAUAAAAAUGUGUAUAAGCUCAGAGAUAGAAUCUGAGAAUCAAAUUCAGAUUUUAGAUGAAGAUUGA